GGGGAGCUCUCGCGAGAUCCAGAGCUCCGGUCCUGCCUCCUCAGGGCGUUGCGCGGGCCGUAGAAGGCCACCUGAGAGGAGAAAAGAGAGGAUGCCAGGUGAAGGACUGAGGGGAAGGCGAUGAGAACUUUGCGGGCCGGGGUGCGGGUUCUGGGAACGCUACCGCCCCGUGCCUUUUGCCUCUGAGUCCUCGCGGAAUCACGCCUGCCCGUAGGGAACUGACAUUGGGAGACGUUUCACAAAAGGCGCUGAAGGAUCCAGCGAGCAUGGAUGUGCUCAAGAUGAGGCCAGAAGAGUCUGCAGGAGGAUCUGAGUCCAGAGAGCUGCCAAGGACCACGAGGAAAAGCUUGGGUCGUGCCUAGUAGCCGCACCCCUUUAUCUCGGCUGCGCACUGGGCCCUUCACGCCCUUUAUCUCCUAUCACCCUUAACCUUCUGGUUAAGUUCAAGCCCAAGGAGUUUUUCUUGACCUGCUUCUGCUGUUUGUGUCUGAGGAAUACCGGAGGAUUGACCCUAGUGGAUGCACUUUGAGGACACUGACUGGCUUGGUCGUCUGUCCCCAGCGCCUAGCAUAGAUAGAGGUGCUCAAAUUGUCGAAUGCCUCUAUGCUUAGAACUCCCAACGUCACCAGUGUAGCUGCCUUCAUCCAGAGGUUUUUCUGGGGAGCUGAAGAGAGAUCUCAGCUGUCUCUUAGGAGGGCUUACUGCUCUUACAGAGGACUUGAGUUCACGUCUCAGCACCCAGGUGUGUAGACAUGGGCCUGCUUCGGACGUCUGCAGCAGCUGACCAUAAUUGGCCUUGUGUUCUGGCGGAGGCAUGCUUUUGCCAGCUUCAGGAAUAAAGCUUUCAAGGCCACUGCAAGACAAAGGUGAACGGGUUUGCUUGUGUGGCACAGUGAUGCAUUAACUACAGACCAACAGUGAAAGAUGUUACCAAACUUUGAGCAGUCAGUAGUCUCCUGAGGACUACUCACCAGCCUCUUGACCUCCAGAGAUGAGGACGGACCCUUUCUUUGGUUUGCAAACCAAAGCCAUAAAGUAACUUUGAUGGCUCAUGUACCAAACAUUCCACAGCUAUAUUGAGCUUCAGACGUGGGCAGAGGGAAUAAACCAAACAAGCUCGUUACAGACUGUAUGUCUCAUAUUGUUUCUCUAAGUCCAGUACCCUGAGAUGGCUUCAUGCCCAUGCAUGUGGAAGGAGUCCUAGUGCCCAGAAGCCCCAAAUGUGUGUUGUCCUUUUGUGUUUAUUUAUUUAGAAACAAUGCUCCACUCUGAACUCCAGGCUGGCCU